CUCAAGGGGAUGGAAGACCACGAGUGUCGAUGAAGCCCCUCGCUCUAGGCCCAGAUGGCCCCCUCCUUUCCUUUUCUGCCUGGGGAUACUCACAGCCGUCAGGCUGAGAAAUUUGCAACAGCGUAUUGCAGGCACAGACUGGCUGGAGCAAGAUUAGGCCAAGCAGGACAGGAAUGUUCGCUAGAGCUGAACAAACAACCCCAUGUAUGGGGGACUGGGUGAUAAGAGGAAAAAGGGGAACAGGCCAGUAUACGGGACUGGCUGUACGGAUACUCAGGGCAGCUUGCUAUUGGAUAAGCAGGCUAAAGAAUGAAUGUAUAAAAUGCGUGUAACUGCUCGCACUGGGGUGCAGGAUUUGAGAUCGUUGUCUCCCUGUUCCGCUUGAAGCUUCAAAUAAACUUUUCUACUUCUGCACCCCGUUGUGAUUAUUGGGCGACGCACACCGGGCAACGAAUCCAGCUCGGAAGAGCUUCGU